GCUCGGGUGGUGGAACCGGCAGACACGCUAGACUUAGGAUCUAGUGCCGCAAGGCGUGGGGGUUCGAAUCCCCCUUCGAGCA
rnacentral:tRNA from 1 species